AUUGAACGCUGGCGGCAUGCCUUACACAUGCAAGUCGAACGGUAACAGGUCUUUCGGGAUGCUGACGAGUGGCGAACGGGUGAGUAAUACAUCGGAACGUGCCUAGUAGUGGGGGAUAACUACUCGAAAGAGUGGCUAAUACCGCAUGAGAUCUAUGGAUGAAAGCAGGGGACCUUCGGGCCUUGUGCUACUAGAGCGGCCGAUGGCAGAUUAGGUAGUUGGUGGGAUAAAAGCUUACCAAGCCUGCGAUCUGUAGCUGGUCUGAGAGGACGAUCAGCCACACUGGGACUGGGACACGGCCCAGACUCCUACGGGAGGCAGCAGUGGGGAAUUUUGGACAAUGGGGGAAACCCUGAUCCAGCAAUGCCGCGUGCAGGAUGAAGGCCUUCGGGUUGUAAACUGCUUUUGUACGGAACGAAAAGUCUUGGGUUAAUACCCUGGGAUCAUGACGGUACCGUAAGAAUAAGCACCGGCUAACUACGUGCCAGCAGCCGCAGUAACAC
rnacentral:rRNA from 1 species